GGUUAAGUGACUAAGCGUACACGGUGGAUGCCUUGGCAAUCAGAGGCGAAGAAGGACGUGCUAAUCUGCGAUAAGCUUGGAAGAGUUGAUAAGAAACGUGAUAAUUCCAAGAUUUCCGAAUGGGGAAACCCAAUAGGUGAAGAACCUAUUAUCAAUGACUGAAUACAUAGGUCAUUGAAGCGAACCGGGAGAACUGAAACAUCUAAGUACCCCGAGGAAAAGAAAUCAACCGAGAUUCUGUGAGUAGCGGCGAGCGAAAGUGGAAGAGCCAGUUAGUUUUAGCAUUUGUAUUAAGAGAAUGAGUUGGGAAACUCAAUCAAAGAGGGUGAUAAUCCCGUAUCUGAAAAUACAAUUGUGGAACUAAGCUAACGAUAAGUAGGGCGGGACACGUGAUAUCCUGUUUGAAGAUGGGGGGACCAUCCUCCAAGGCUAAAUACUCCUGAUUGACCGAUAGUGAACAAGUACUGUGAAGGAAAGGUAAAAAGAACCCCUGCGAGGGGAGUGAAAUAGAACCUGAAACCGUGUACGUACAAGCAGUAGGAGC
rnacentral:rRNA from 1 species